GAUGAACGCUAGCGAUAGGCUUAACACAUGCAAGUCGAGGGGCAGCAUGGUCUUAGCUUGCUAAGACUGAUGGCGACCGGCGCACGGGUGCGUAACGCGUAUGCAACUUGCCUCACAGAGGGGGAUAACCCGUCGAAAGACGGACUAAUACCGCGUACACUUGGGAUGGGGCAUCCUGACCCAAGGAAAUGAAAUUCUCUGUGAGAUAGGCAUGCGUCCCAUUAGCUAGUUGGUGAGGUAACGGCUCACCAAGGCGACGAUGGGUAGGGGAACUGAGAGGUUGAACCCCCACACUGGUACUGAGACACGGACCAGACUCCUACGGGAGGCAGCAGUGAGGAAUAUUGGUCAAUGGGCGAGAGCCUGAACCAGCCAAGUCGCGUGAAGGAUGACUGUCUUAUGGAUUGUAAACUUCUUUUAUACGGGAAUAACAAGAGCCACGUGUGGCUCCCUGCAUGUACCGUAUGAAUAAGCAUCGGCUAACUCCGUG
rnacentral:rRNA from 1 species